rnacentral:rRNA from 1 species
AUACGUAGGGGGCUAGCGUUAUCCGGAUUUACUGGGCGUAAAGGGUGCGUAGGUGGUUUCUUAAGUCAGGAGUGAAAGGCUACGGCUUAACCGUAGUAAGCUCUUGAAACUGGGAAACUUGAGUGCAGGAGAGGAAAGUGGAAUUCCUAGUGUAGCGGUGAAAUGCGUAGAUAUUAGAAGGAACACCAGUGGCGAAGGCGGCUUGCUGGGCCAUUACUGACGCUGAUGCACGAAAGCGUGGGGAGC